rnacentral:rRNA from 1 species
GCACUGGAAGGUCCCUAAACCGAAAGGGGCUCUGCCCGCCCGAGGAUGGGCCGGCGGCCGAUUAGGUAGUUGGUGGGGUAACGGCCCACCAAGCCCAUAAUCGGUACGGGCAGUGAGAGCUGGAGCCCGGAGAUGGACACUGAGACACGGGUCCAGGCCCUACGGGGCGCAGCAGGCGCGAAACCUCCGCAAUGCUCGAAAGAGCGACGGGGGGACCCCAAGUGCCGUGGUACAACCACGGCUUUUCCGGAGUGUAAGAAGCUCCGGGAAUAAGGGCUGGGCAAGGCCGGUGGCAGCCGCCGCGGUAAUACCGGCGGCCCGAGUGGUGGCCACUAUUAUUGGGCCUAAAGCGUCCGUAGCCGGGCAUGUAAGUCCCUGGCGAAAUCCCACGGCUCAACCGUGGGGCUUGCUGGGGAUACUGCAAGCCUUGGGACCGGGAGAGGCCGGGGGUACUCCUGGGGUAGGGGUGAAAUCCUAUAAUCCCAGGAGGACCGCCAGUGGCGAAGGCGCCCGGCUGGAACGGGUCCGACGGUGAGGGACGAAGGCCAGGGGAGCAAACCGGAUUAGAUACCCGGGUAGUCCUGGCUGUAAAGGAUGCGGGCUAGGUGUUGCUUGGACCUCGAGUCCAAGCAGUGCCGCAG